GAAUAUUGGACAAUGGGCGCAAGCCUGAUCCAGCCAUGCCGCGUGAGUGAAGAAGGCCUUCGGGUUGUAAAGCUCUUUUGUCCGGAAAGAAAAGCCUUGGGUUAAUACCCCGGGGUUCUGACGGUACCGGAAGAAUAAGCACCGGCUAACUUCGUGCCAGCAGCCGCGGUAAUACGAAGGGUGCAAGCGUUACUCGGAAUUACUGGGCGUAAAGCGUGCGUAGGUGGUUCGUUAAGUCUGAUGUGAAAGCCCUGGGCUCAACCUGGGAAUUGCAUUGGAUACUGGCGGGCUAGAGUACGGUAGAGGGUGGCGGAAUUCCUGGUGUAGCAGUGAAAUGCGUAGAUAUCAGGAGGAACAUCCGUGGCGAAGGCGGCCACCUGGACCAGUACUGACACUGAGGCACGAAAGCGUGGGGAGCAAACAG
rnacentral:rRNA from 1 species